ACGGGAGGCAGCAGUGGGGGAUAUUGGUCAAUGGGGGAAACCCUGAACCAGCAACGCCGCGUGAGGGGAGACGGCCUUCGGGUUGUAAACCUAAGUGAUCAGGGACGAAGGAAGUGACGGUACCUGAAAAGCAAGCUCCGGCUAACUACGUGCCAGCAGCCGCGGUAAUACGUAGGGAGCGAGCGUUGUCCGGAUUUACUGGGUGUAAAGGGUGCGUAGGCGGGAAAGCAAGUCAGGUGUGAAAUACCGGGGCUCAACUCCGGGGCUGCGCUUGAAACUGUUUUUCUUGAGUGAAGUAGAGGCAGGCGGAAUUCCUAGUGUAGCGGUGGAAUGCGUAGAUAUUAGGAGGAACACCAGUGGCGAAGGCGGCCUGCUGGGCUUUAACUGACGCUGAGGCACGAAAGCAUGGGGAGCAAACAGGAUUAGAUACCCUGGUA
rnacentral:rRNA from 1 species